rnacentral:snoRNA from 1 species
GGGGUGUGCUAAGAGCAGGGGGCUAAAGAAUGGCUCCUCUGUUUAUAACACAUGGAACAGGCAUCUGGGGUCACUGUGACAAGGGGCAGAAAACUUGUGACUCCCUAAGAACAAAUGUCCUACACGU